AGAGUUUGAUCAUGGCUCAGAUUGAACGCUGGCGGCAUGCCUAACACAUGCAAGUCGAACGGUAACAGUCCUAGCUUGCUAGGAGCUGACGAGUGGCGGACGGGUGAGUAACGCGUAGGAAUCUGCCCUGUAGUGGGGGAUAACACUGGGAAACUAGUGCUAAUACCGCAUAAUCCCUGAGGGGGAAAGCUCGAGAGGGCGCUAUUGGAUGAGCCUGCGUCAGAUUAGCUAGUUGGUGGGGUAAAGGCCUACCAAGGCUGAGAUCUGUAGCUGGUCUGAGAGGACGACCAGCCACACUGGGACUGAGACACGGCCCAGACCCCUACGGGAGGCAGCAGUGGGGAAUAUUGGACAAUGGGGGCAACCCUGAUCCAGCAAUGCCGCGUGUGUGAAGAAGGCCUGCGGGUUGUAAAGCACUUUAGUGUGGGAAGAAGGACGCGUAAGCGUUUGACG
rnacentral:rRNA from 1 species